UGCAAGUCGAGCGAAUGACGAGGAGCUUGCUCCUCUGAUUUAGCGGCGGACGGGUGAGUAACACGUGGGUAACCUGCCUGUAAGACGGGGAUAACUCCGGGAAACCGGAGCUAAUACCGGAUGAUAAUGAGAAGCGCCUGCUUCUCUUUUGAAAGUCGGUUUCGGCUGACGCUUACAGAUGGGCCCGCGGCGCAUUAGCUAGUUGGUGAGGUAACGGCUCACCAAGGCGACGAUGCGUAGCCGACCUGAGAGGGUGAUCGGCCACACUGGGACUGAGACACGGCCCAGACUCCUACGGGAGGCAGCAGUAGGGAAUCUUCGGCAAUGGACGAAAGUCUGACCGAGCAACGCCGCGUGAGCGAUGAAGGCCUUCGGGUCGUAAAGCUCUGUUGUCAGAGAAGAACAAGUACCGGAGUAACUGCCGGUACCUUGACGGUACCUGACCAGAAAGCCACGGCUAACUACGUGCCAGCAGCCGCGGUAAUACGUAGGUGGCAAGCGUUAUCCGGAAUUAUUGGGCGUAAAGCGCGCGCAGGCGGUUCCUUAAGUCUGAUGUGAAAGCCCACGGCUCAACCGUGGAGGGUCAUUGGAAACUGGGGGACUUGAGUGCAGGAGAGAAAAGUGGAAUUCCACGUGUAGCGGUGAAAUGCGUAGAGAUGUGGAGGAACACCAGUGGCGAAGGCGGCUUUUUGGCCUGUAACUGACGCUGAGGCGCGAAAGCGUGGGGAGCAAACAGGAUUAGAUACCCUG
rnacentral:rRNA from 1 species